CAUUCAAGUAGGAGCUGGAGCGUUGUUGGUGAUGUCAGGGGGUGAGGGUUUGUGCUCUGCAUGGACUGGGCAUGCCCUCACCUCAGCCUCUCUGACUGUCCACCAUGGACAGUCACAGGAUUGGAUAGGGACUGCCCUGUUGACACCUCAAACCCCAGUCUCUGGUCUCAGGCAGCUGCCACCACAAUCCCACGGCCAAACCAUGCCCACACCCUUGAUCCCUGGUCCUUUGAGCACCAGGAAACUGGGAAGAGGGCAGCAAGGAGACACAGUCCCUGGGGCAAGUCCCUCCCAAAGCCACUGUCCCCAAGCCAGCCUCCAGUUUCUCCAAGUGCCUGGCAGAUGUACAGAUGGCUCAGUAGGUUCCGAGCAGGUUUGAAGCCAGUUCUGCCAGCCAACCCUUUCCCCACUUAGAGCCUCGGUUUCCUCUUCUGCCCAAUGAGGAUGGCCUAGGACAGUGUGUGCCUGUGCCUGUGACCGCCAGUGCCUCCCACAUCCAAGUGCCCCAGCCUAGAGCAGUGCCCAGCACAUGGGGGAGGUGUUCCACCCCAGGUUCCAGAACCCUGGCCUCAGGGCUGGCUGUAGGGGAGCUGAGAACAGGUCUUGGUUCUUCCCAAACCCCAAAUCAGAAUCUUGGGGAGUGACUUUCGCCCCAGUACCGAGGAUUGAACCCAGGAGCACUUUACCACUGAAUCACGUCCCCAGCCCUCCUACUCUCAUUGGGACACAGGGUCUUGGCUAAGUUGCCCAGUCUGGCCUUGAACUUGCGGCCCUCCUGCCUCGGCCUCCU
rnacentral:lncRNA from 1 species